rnacentral:rRNA from 1 species
AAUAGAUACCCGGGUAGUCCACGCCGUAAACGAUGAGUGCUAAGUGUUAGAGGGUUUCUGCCCUUUAGUGCUGCAGCUAACGCAUUAAGCACUCCGCCUGGGGAGUACGGCCGCAAGGCUGAAACUCAAAGGAAUUGACGGGGGGCCCGCACAAGCGGUGGAGCAUGUGGUUUAAUUCGAAGCAACGCGAAGAACCUUACCAGGUCUUGACAUCCUCUGACAACCCUAGAGAUAGGGCUUUCCCCUUCGGGGGACAGAGUGACAGGUGGUGCAUGGUUGUCGUCAGCUCGUGUCGUGAGAUGUUGGGUUAAGUCCCGCAACGAGCGCAACCCUUGAUCUUAGUUGCCAGCAUUCAGUUGGGCACUCUAAGGUGACUGCCGGUGACAAACCGGAGGAAGGUGGGGAUGACGUCAAAUCAUCAUGCCCCUUAUGACCUGGGCUACACACGUGCUACAAUGGAUGGUACAAAGGGCUGCAAACCUGCGAGGGUAAGCGAAUCCCAUAAAGCCAUUCUCAGUUCGGAUUGC